GUGGGGAAUAUUGGACAAUGGGCGAAAGCCUGAUCCAGCCAUGCCGCGUGUGUGAAGAAGGUCUUCGGAUUGUAAAGCACUUUAAGUUGGGAGGAAGGGCAGUAAGUUAAUACCUUGCUGUUUUGACGUUACCGACAGAAUAAGCACCGGCUAACUUCGUGCCAGCAGCCGCGGUAAUACGAAGGGUGCAAGCGUUAAUCGGAAUUACUGGGCGUAAAGCGCGCGUAGGUGGUUUUGUAAGUUGGAGGUGAAAUCCCCGGGCUCAACCUGGGAACUGCCUCCAAAACUGCAUGACUAGAGUACGGUAGAGGGUAGUGGAAUUUCCUGUGUAGCGGUGAAAUGCGUAGAUAUAGGAAGGAACACCAGUGGCGAAGGCGACUACCUGGACUGAUACUGACACUGAGGUGCGAAAGCGUGGGGAGCAAACAGGAUUAGAAACCCUUGUAGUC
rnacentral:rRNA from 1 species